rnacentral:tRNA from 1 species
GGGGCGGUGGCGGAAUAGGCAGACGCAGCAGACUUAAAAUCUGCCGGCCGAGAGGCUGUGUGGGUUCGACCCCCACCCGCCCCA